ensembl:lncRNA
CUUUGUGACCUCACGGACUGUAGCCCACCAGGCUCCUCUGUCCAUGGGAUUCUCCAGGCGAGAGUGCCCCGUGCCCUCCUCCAGGGGCUCUUCCCAACCCAGGGAUCAAAAGCACGUCUCUUCAUCUCCUGCACGGGCAGGCUGAAAGGUGUCAGUAGCUCAGGAGUGUCCAACUCUUUGUGACCCGAGGCUCCUCUGUCCAUGGGAUUUCCCAGGCUGAACUCAUGGCCAGAUGGAUGCCCUCGAACCUGAGCUCCCGCAUCGCACGCCCCGUCCUCUGUUUCACGCCGCCAUCUGUGUGUCUGGCGGGGCUCUUAGGCUCGGCUGGUCAUAGCUUAGCUCCCGCCCCUCCUCCUGUAAGCCGCUCCUCCUCCAGCGUUCCCCUUUCAGGGUGGAAUAGACGGCAGCACCCGCCACCUUCUCAGUCACUGCACAAGCCGGGAACUUCAGCACCAUCCCUGAGGCCUCCCUCUCUCUUCCGCUUGGAGUCACUCAGAUUUUUGCAUUUGUGUUCAUCAGUGACACUGGCCGGAAGCUCCCAAAUUCAACCAAACAUUUAAAGAAGAGUUAACACCUGUCCUUCUGAAACAGUCCCCAGAAACUGCAGAGGAAGGAACACUUCUGAACUCAUCUUCUGAGGCCUACAUCACUCUGAUACCAAAACCAGAUAAAGGUAUUGCGGAAAAGGAAAAUUACAGCCCAGCACUUUGAAACAGUCUUCUACUGGAUUCCGCGCAUGACGCCUUUUGCUCACACGAAGGCGCAGAAACCGAGCCAGGCGUGGAUGCCCCGACACCAGAGCAGAUUCAGGCGAGGCUUAUCCCAGCCCUGCUGAACCCUCUUCACCGACUCCCUCUGCCCAGGGGGCAUCACUCAAGGCGCCCUGCAGUACCCAAGAGGAUCCGCGCGCCAAGGCCCUGCUGCUCCUGAGGCCCUCUUCCCUCCAACCUCGCCAGACCCGGCCUCCCAGCCUCCGCGGAGCCCUGCUCCUCCGCUGCAGGUUCCACGCAACCGGGACGGGCCCUGUGCCCCGGAGCCUGCGGGGACGAGCCAGACCAGCCAGUCCGCAGCUGGCCACCCUGCUCAGGCUUGAUGGGUGAGCAGACAUCUGGCCGUGUCCAUCAGACCGGGUAACCAGUGACCCACAUGGACCAGCUGUCCCAGGCAGGGCCAUGGCCCCGGGGGACGCCGCUCCUGAAGGACUCACAGCUAGAGCCUGUCUGCCCACGGCCUUGCCGGCAGCUGGAGAGACAAGCUUCCCACGGAAGGGGGGGCUGGGGGGCGUCCAUCACAGCCCCAUCUGCCAGGCCUCUCAGAUGACUAAUCGGUAAACCACCAUUAUUAGAACGUUCCCUUGUUCACUGUAGUUUGCUAAAUCUUAUUUGCAUUCACUGGGUACCUUUAACAUAUUAUUUGUCGUCUGCUGACAUCAUGGGGUUCCUUAAUUUGCAAUAAAGGAAAACAAUGCCA